GCCAGAAACCUGUGCCAUCUGCCUGAAAGAAGGGAUGAACAAGGCCGGGCGCGGUGGCUCACGCCAUAAUCCCAGCACUUUGGGAGGCUGAGGUGGGCAGAUCACCUGAGGUCAGGAGUUUGAGACCAGCCUGGCCAACAUGGCAAAACCCUGUCUCUACUAAAAAUACAAUAAAUUACCCGGGUGUGGUGGCAGGUGCCUGUAAUCCCAGCUACUCGGGAGGCUGAGGCAGGAGAAUCGUUUGAACCUGGGAGGUGGAGGUUGCAGUGAGCCGAU
rnacentral:lncRNA from 1 species